ensembl:lncRNA
CUUGAAAUACACUGGGUGUGGUGGCAGAUGUCAGCUGGGACAGCAACUGUUGGUCAGCAGCAGGCUUGCGUUCUAAAAGUUCAGACGUGUGGCUGUAGAAUAAACCAGUCUUUGUCAACCUGCGUUCUCAGGACACUCACCUUCUUGACCGUGAUCGUGCUUCUCAGUGCCACCUUCACGCUGGCUGGCUCAAAGGAGGGUAAGUCUGGACUACUUAAAAAUCCUGCUGGAGCUACAAACACGUCCUGUAUCCUGUCCUUACCGGUUCACAGAAAAAAACAUGCCGACAAGGAUGGGUGAAAUUUCAAUCCCGCUGCUUCCAGUUUAUUAGGACUCCCAGAACAUGGAUGGAGGCAGAGAGCCACUGUCUCACCCUUGGGGCCAACCUGGUGUCAGUUCACAGCCCAGAGGAGUCCCGCUUUCUAUUGCAGUUGACAGAUGGUUCCCUUGCCUGGAUUGGGGGCUCUGAUACUGUCCAGGCACACUUUGUAAAGGUACCCUGUUUUCUGUUAAUGAGUUAAUGGAACAGUG